GGCCUAACACAUGCAAGUCGAACGGCAGCACAGUAAGAGCUUGCUCUUAUGGGUGGCGAGUGGCGGACGGGUGAGGAAUACAUCGGAAUCUACUUUUUCGUGGGGGAUAUCGUAGGGAAACUUACGCUAAUACCGCAUACGACCUUCGGGUGAAAGCAGGGGACCUUCGGGCCUUGCGCGAUUGAAUGAGCCGAUGUCGGAUUAGCUAGUUGGCGGGGUAAAGGCCCACCAAGGCGACGAUCCGUAGCUGGUCUGAGAGGAUGAUCAGCCACACUGGAACUGAGACACGGUCCAGACUCCUACGGGAGGCAGCAGUGGGGAAUAUUGGACAAUGGGCGCAAGCCUGAUCCAGCCAUACCGCGUGGGUGAAGAAGGCCUUCGGGUUGUAAAGCCCUUUUGUUGGGAAAGAAAAGCAGUUGGCUAAUACCUUGCUGUUCUGACGGUACCCAAAGAAUAAGCACCGGCUAACUUCGUGCCAGCAGCCGCGGUAAUACGAAGGGUGCAAGCGUUACUCGGAAUUACUGGGCGUAAAGCGUGCGUAGGUGGUUGAUUAAGUCUGUUGUGAAAGCCCUGGGCUCAACCUGGGAACUGCAGUGGAAACUGGAUGACUAGAGUGUGGUAGAGGGU
rnacentral:rRNA from 1 species